rnacentral:misc_RNA from 1 species
GUUUGCUUAAAUGUAAGUAUCGAAUUCUAUAUAUGAUUUUUGAUUGUAGAUAUUAACAUUGGAAUUGGAAAUCAUGUGUGAUGUUAACAAACAACAACUUUCUUACGUACGCCAAAGAUUCUCUACUACGCCUGCAUUAUUCCGGAAUAUCAAACAUAAGAUGCAUCCGAUGAUCAGGAUCAUCACGAUCAGAGCAACAAGACUACAGUUGGAGUAGUUGUCGUCAGGGCUUCAGUGGUCGGAACUUCAGUCGUUGGGGUUUCUUUCGUUGGCAUUUCAGUGCCAUGAGAUCAUCAAUCAUCUAUCAAUAAUUGAAUAAUGCGGAAUAGUGCUACUGAUCGCACACGCUACACUUUUAUUGUUGAUGUUGGACAGGUGCUAAUUUCCGUCGCUGUUGAUUCCGACUUGGCCUUCGUGUUGGCCGCUGCCUUCGGUCCCAUUUUCAUCGUGCUGUAAGCUGAACUUCUUCUUUCCUUGCGUUUUUUUCCCCUUUCUGUUGUUACAAGUUAUUUUGCAACUCAACUUGUAUUUUUCCUCACCCAUCCCUACCGUUUCACAUUUCUAUUUUUUUCCUCUCGCGUUCAUAAUGUCGUUUGUCGUUGUGAUACUUGUCUUAUAAUUAUUUUCGUUUUCUGAAUUUAUUUUUAUAUUAUUAACACGGCAAUCCCUUCAAACAUAGCUGGCCAGAGUGAGUA